AUUGAAACACCGAUUCCCGUACGAUCACCGAAAUUAAGCAACGUUGAUACUGUUCAGUACCUAGAUGGGUGACCGCUUGGGAUUACCAGGUGCUGUAAG